rnacentral:rRNA from 1 species
GACGAACGCUGGCGGCGUGCUUAACACAUGCAAGUCGAACGGAAAGGCCCUGCUUUUGUGGGGUGCUCGAGUGGCGAACGGGUGAGUAACACGUGAGUAACCUGCCCUUGACUUUGGGAUAACUUCAGGAAACUGGGGCUAAUACCGGAUAGGAGCUCCUGCUGCAUGGUGGGGGUUGGAAAGUUUCGGCGGUUGGGGAUGGACUCGCGGCUUAUCAGCUUGUUGGUGGGGUAGUGGCUUACCAAGGCUUUGACGGGUAGCCGGCCUGAGAGGGUGACCGGCGUCAUUGGGACUGAGGUACGACCCAGACACAUACGGGAAGCAGCAGUGGGGAACAUUGCACAAUGGGCGGAAGCCUGUUGCAGCAACGCCGCAGGCGUGAUGACGGCCUUCGGGUGUUAAACCGCUUUCUCCUGUGAUGAAGCGUGAGUGACGGUAAUGGGUUAAGAAGCACCGGCUAACUACGUG